CACGGGGGGGGCAAGCGUUGUUCGGAAUUACUGGGCGUAAAGGGCUCGUAGGUGGCCAACUAAGUCAGACGUGAAAUCCCUCGGCUUAACCGGGGAACUGCGUCCGAUACUGGUUGGCUUGAGUUUGGGAGAGGGAUGCGGAAUUCCAGGUGUAGCGGUGAAAUGCGUAGAUAUCUGGAGGAACACCGGUGGCGAAGGCGGCAUCCUGGACCAAUACUGACGCUGAGGAGCGAAAGCCAGGGGAGCAAACGGGG
rnacentral:rRNA from 1 species